rnacentral:rRNA from 1 species
GACGAACGCUGGCGGCGUGCUUAACACAUGCAAGUCGUACGGUAAGGCCCUUUCGGGGGUACACGAGUGGCGAACGGGUGAGUAACACGUGAGUAACCUGCCCACAACUUUGGGAUAACGCUAGGAAACUGGUGCUAAUACUGGAUAUGUGCUCCUGCUGCAUGGUGGGGGUUGGAAAGCUCCGGCGGUUGUGGAUGGACUCGCGGCCUAACAGCUUGUUGGUGGGGUAGUGGCCUACCAAGGCGGCGACGGGUAGCCGGCCUGGGAGGGUGACCGGCCACAUUGGGACUGAGAUACGGCCCAGACUCCUACGGGAGGCAGCAGUGGGGAAUAUUGCACAAUGGGCGCAAGCCUGAUGCAGCAACGCCGCGUGCGGGAUGACGGCCUUCGGGUUGUAAACCGCUUUCAGCAGGGACGAAGCUUUUUGUGACGGUACCUGCAGAAGAAGCACCGGCUAACUACGUG